rnacentral:SRP_RNA from 2 species
GCCAGGCACAGUGGCGUGUGCCUGUAGUCCCAGCUACUCGGGAGGCUGAGACAGGAGAAUUGCUUGAACCCGGGAGGCAGAGGUUGCAGUGAGCCAAGAUCAUGCCACUGCACUCCAGCCUGGGCAACAGAGCAAGACUCUGCCUCAA